rnacentral:rRNA from 1 species
CACGCUGUAAACGAUGGAUACUAGGUGUGGGGGGUCUGACCCCCUCCGUGCCGCAGUUAACACAAUAAGUAUCCCACCUGGGGAGUACGAUCGCAAGGUUGAAACUCAAAGGAAUUGACGGGGGCCCGCACAAGCGGUGGAGUAUGUGGUUUAAUUCGAAGCAACGCGAAGAACCUUACCAGGGCUUGACAUCCCGCUGACCGGCAUAGAGAUAUGCCUUUCCCUUCGGGGACAGCGGAGACAGGUGG